GCCGGGUGUGGUGGCACCUGCCUGUAAUCUCAGCGGCUUGGGAGGCUGAGGCAGGAGGAUCGCAAGUACUUUAGCAAAUCCCUGAGCAACUUGGCAAUACCCUGUUUCAA
rnacentral:sRNA from 1 species